GACGAACGCUGGCGGCGUGCUUAACACAUGCAAGUCGAACGGAAAGGCCUCUUUCGGGGGGUACUCGAGUGGCGAACGGGUGAGUAACACGUGAGUAACCUGCCCUUGACUUUGGGAUAACUUCAGGAAACUGGGGCUAAUACCGGAUAGGAGCUCCUGCUGCAUGGUGGGGGUUGGAAAGUUUCGGCGGUUGGGGAUGGACUCGCGGCUUAUCAGCUUGUUGGUGGGGUAGUGGCUUACCAAGGCUUUGACGGGUAGCCGGCCUGAGAGGGUGACCGGCCACAUUGGGACUGAGAUACGGCCAGACUCCUACGGGAGGCAGCAGUGGGGAAUAUUGCACAAUGGGUGGAAGCCUGAUGCAGCAACGCCGUGUGCGGGAUGACGGCCUUCGGGUUGUAAACCGCUUUCGCUCAUGACGAAGCUUUGUGUGACGGUAGUGGGUAAAGAAGCACCGGCUAACUACGUG
rnacentral:rRNA from 1 species